AGGAGGCUGGGAGAGGCUGCAGUCAGAGCUGCGAAGGCUGUCAACUAUGUGGGAGCAGGUGCACUGUGGGCCAUUUGCCUAAAGCUCUCUUCUCACCGUUUGCUCCCCAAACUUCUGGACCUUGUCAAGUGUCUGUUUGCAGCUAAAUUCAUCACCUCAUCGUCACAAGUUCAAGAACAUCUGCUCCCUGGUUGUUUUGAUUCUGUUCCCUAGAGAAGUGGCUGAUUAUGUAUUUAUAAUUUCAUUUCUGUUUCUCAUUGCUAAGGAGUCAUCUGUAGCCCAGAAUAUGAUCUUUGCCAGUUUGAGAAUAUUUUCUACCAUUGUGGUUCAUAGGUGACAAUUUACCUAUUUGAUUGACGGUGCCGUUCACCUUUAAGAAUAUGUCCUUGCUAAUUAUCGGCCUUCUGGAUCUGCCUAAUCGGAUAGAACGUUGUCAUUUUUAACUCCUAUGAUGAAUUUAUCUAUGUCUCCUUGUUCUCGGGCUUUGCCACACGUAUUCAGACAUUGUUAGGCACUUUUGCAGGUCUGACCCCUUUACCAUUUUUAUACUCUUUAUAUAAUCACUAUGUAAUAUAAAGAUG
rnacentral:lncRNA from 1 species